rnacentral:pre_miRNA from 1 species
UCUUAUGGAUGAACAAAGAAAGUAGUUUCUCGAGAUGGAAGAUGGAAUCUACUCCUGGUAAAGGUGCUGUGAA